rnacentral:rRNA from 1 species
GAUGAACGCUGGCGGCGUGCCUAAUACAUGCAAGUCGAGCGAACGGACGAGAAGCUUGCUUCUCUGAUGUUAGCGGCGGACGGGUGAGUAACACGUGGAUAACCUACCUAUAAGACUGGGAUAACUUCGGGAAACCGGAGCUAAUACCGGCUAAUAUUUUGAACCGCUUGGUUCAAAAGUGAAAGACGGUCUUGCUGUCACUUAUAGAUGGAUCCGCGCUGCAUUAGCUAGUUGGUAAGGUAACGGCUUACCAAGGCAACGAUGCAUAGCAGACCUGAGAGGGUGAUCGGCCACACUGGAACUGAGACACGGUCCAGACUCCUACGGGAGGCAGCAGUAGGGAAUCUUACGCAAUGGGCGAAAGCCUGACGGAGCAACGCCGCGUGAGUGAUGAAGGUCUUCGGAUCGUAAAACUCUGUUAUUAGGGAAGAACAUAUGUGUAAGUAACUGUGCACAUCUUGACGGUACCUAAUCAGAAAGCCACGGCUAACUACGUG